rnacentral:rRNA from 1 species
GAUGAACGCUAGCGGCAGGCCUAACACAUGCAAGUCGAACGGUAACAUAGAUUGCUUGCAAUCUGAUGACGAGUGGCGCACGGGUGCGUAACGCGUAUGCAAUCUACCUUUUACAGGAGAAUAGCCCAGAGAAAUUUGGAAUAAUGCUCCAUAAUAUCAUUUAUCAGCAUUGAUUUAUGAUUAAAGCUCCGGCGGUAAAAGAUGAGCAUGCGUUCUAUUAGCUAGUAGGUGAGGUAACGGCUCACCUAGGCAACGAUAGAUAGGGGCCCUGAGAGGGGGGAUCCCCCCACACUGGUACUGAGACACGGACCAGACUCCUACGGGAGGCAGCAGUGAGGAAUAUUGGACAAUGGAGGAAACUCUGAUCCAGCCAUGCCGCGUGCAGGACGACUGCCCUAUGGGUUGUAAACUGCUUUUAUAUAGGAAGAAACACUCCCACGUGUGGGGGCUUGACGGUACUAUAUGAAUAA